ensembl:lncRNA
CAAACAGCGGCCCUGAGUCUGCCUCCGGCGUCGAGGAGCAGCUUCCCGGACGUGAGCCGGGCGGUGGUGGACAGGCUGGGGCUCACCGCCGAAGACCAUCGCCGGCGGUUCCGGGCCUGUCGGCUGGCUACAACGGACCGACCAUUCGCCUGGGCCCGGCAGCUGCGCGAUGCGGCGGUGCGCUGGCUGCAACCGGGAGCAUCGGAGGGCGAGACGAAGCUGGUGGACAAGGUGGUGCUGGAGCAGUUCACGGAGGGAUUGCCAGCGGAGACGGCGAGAUGGGUCCGGUGCCACCGGCCCGCAAGCCUGGAGGUAGCGGUGACGCUGGCGGAAGACCACCUUGCCGCUGGAGCAGGGGAACCCGGGGACGCCGGACGGAGGCCGAACAAACAGGCCCCAGUGCCGGCCCCGAGACGCCGUGUGCCGGCACCAGGGCAGGCAGAGCGGCUGCCGGCGCUGAGCCCCACUAACCCUUUCGCGGCGUUGGUGCCGUCCAGGGCAGCCGAGCCAAGUGGAGCCGCCCCCGAGCCACGGAGAGCAGCACAGACGCCGGGGCCGGAGUGUUGGAAGUGCGGGCAGCCGGGGCACCUGAGGAGGGAUUGUCCGCUUAUGGAAGUGGGGCAGGUGUUUCGUGUUGCUGGCGCCCCAGCACCCUCCCCCGGUCCAGGAGGGACAUACAGUAUUCCGACUGACGCCUCGGACAGAGGGCUGGGAGCCGUUUUGUCCCAGCAGGUGAGGGGGGCUGACCGCCCUGUCCUGUACAUCAGCCGGAAGCUAGCGGAGCGCGAGCGCCGGUACAGCACCGUGGAGAAGGAGUGCCUGGCCAUCCGGUGGGCGGUCGGCUCCCUGCGCUAUUACCUCCUGGGACGCUCAUUCACCCUCUGUUCGGACCACGCCCCGCUGCAGUGGCUCCACCGCAUGAAGGAUGCCAACGCCCGGAUCACCCGGUGGUAUCUGGCGUUGCAGCCCUUUAAGUUCAAGGUGAUCCAUAGGCCGGGGGCGCAGAUGGCGGUGGCCGAUUUCCUCUCUCGCUCGCGGGGGGGAGUUGGCUCGGCCGGACGGCUCCCCGGCCUCGAACGGGCGGUGGGGGUGUGUGGCGGAGGCGUGGCCCCGGGCGCAGCUGCAGGGGAGGAGUGCAGCAGAAGGCUCAACAGGGCGGCGCUGCGAGGCCGG